rnacentral:sRNA from 1 species
GUGAUAGUAUUUCUUGAUGUAUAGCGCAUGCAUCAUCGCAACUUAGUCGUUACAGUUGUGGGGGAGACGAAAGAUGCGAGAAUCAAGUUUUGAGUUUCAGUAAAACCCAUAUAACGCAAUGACUCAGCGUUGUCACGUCGAUAUAGACCGACCAGCGGUUUCAUGAGGUAUAUCGUCACAGCAGGCGAUGGCCGGCGCCCAUCCUGCUGCGUCGAACAGCGCACGAUCGAUCUGAAGCUGUUCAUCCUGCAGUCCAUUGCGCGGAGGAUUCUCGCGGAAAUCUCUGGAUCACGUGCAAAUCCAUGUCUUGCUGAGAUAAUCCAGCUUCUACUGAUUGAGUGGCUUGGAUGUGGCUUUCCUUUUCAGCCAACCUCUUCGUCUUUGCGGAGUUGAGCCACGAUCAAUGGGAGUGUUUUAGGGGGUUAGUUAAGGGGCAGGCAAUGGAAUCUCAACCAUGGAUGAUAUGUGUUGACGAACCACUGUUGCGAGAGAUUUCCUGGCUGGAAAUUGGAACCACCGAUUCAUGUUCCGUUUGGGUUCAAAUCAACGUCCGUCUUCUGGAUGGAGGUGUAUAGAGCUGGGUUAAUUAAUUGCUCACAGUGGGACUAUCCUAUUUUUUAAGGUACAGCUUUAUCUCUGAUGAAUCAUAUAAAUCAGCUCCCAAACAUAGAGGCAUCUCUGCAGUUGUCAUGCAUCACUUACCUCUGGUACCCCUCCACUGAAUACCCCGCCCAGAUCAAGAAAUGCAGGAUUGUGUGUGUGGCAUCUUCAAUGGGUUGCUAAGCUGUCUCGCUGCGAAUAUGCUCGAACCAGCUACUCCCAUUUUUGGCAAAGACUCUGUCGGAUCCAAUUCAUUUUCAUUUCCAUUCUGAUUCAUCACCUUAUCAUUCCAAACCUCCUGACCAACACCCUAAAUAUCACCGUCCUGCAGAGGUGAUACCUGGUUCUAGAGAUUAGAACAGUUUAGAGGGGGAUGGAAUUGGGGUGGGUAACAAUGGAUGGACUCGAAAAUAUCGGAGCAGUAGAGAACGAAAUAGGCUUUUAUCUGAGAUUUGUCGAAUCCCCCUCGCCCUUUUCAAGGCAUGUAUAUACGUCUAAACGAAAACAUGGGAAAGGACUGUUGGGCCCCAAAUAAUGGAAUCAGGGGGCAAUCCCUAAUCGCCGAAGACCAAAAAACAAGACGAAUGGUGGGGGAAAUAUGUAUACAGGUGUAAUGUGUUGAAAAGCCCCAGCUAGGCCUUUACAAAAUGUAUCGCAAAUAUCGCCUCAUCAAGGAAGAUGAGAGGAAAUAUAAAUCACAUCAUAGCCUCACCCGCUACCAGCUUUUUGACAUUUUCACUCGUGGUCACCUUCUCAUUCACACUUCCAGCAUUUCCCCCCCUCCUUUUCUUCAACACAUUCUCAAUAAAUGCUUCGCCAGCCUUAUAACUACUCCUUACUAGUGGGCCUGAAGCACAAUACAAGAAACCCAUCUCCAGUGCACGCUCCUUCCACAGAUCAAACACAUCAGGUCUUACAUAUUCAUGUACGGCCAUGUGCCUCUUCGUCGGCCUCAUGUACUGUCCAAAGGUGACAACAUCAACGUUAAUAGCCCUCAAUGCCCGCAGAGCAUCCCACAACUGUGCCUCCGUCUCCCCCAGCCCCAGCAUAAGCGACGUCUUCGUAAUAAGUUCCGGCUUUGCCGAUUUAGCAGCCUUCAGCACACGUAGGCUCUGCUGGAACGAUGCCCGACGAUCACGCACGAAAGGGGUCAGCGCCUCAACCGUCUCGACGUUAUGCGCGAACACGUCCAACCCCGAAUUGGCCACGAGGGCCACCAUAUCGAGAUCCCCCGCGUAAUCACCCGUCAGGCACUCGACGAGGAUAUUCGGCGCCUUCUGCUUGAUCUUCAUAACUGUCUCUGCACAGUGCCUCGCGCCGCCAUCUGCGAGAUCAUCCCGAUCGACAGAAGUCAGCACCACGUAUCCCAGGCCCCACCGCGAGAGCGCCUCAGCAGUAUUGUCUGGCUCGUGCGGGUCGAGCGGAGGCGGCUUGUUGGAUGUUUUCACGCUGCAGAAGCGACAGCCGCGCGUGCAGGUGUCGCCCAUAAGCAUUAUUGUAGCUGUCGCCGCAGACUUGGAGCUGCCGCCCCAGCAAUUGGCGAUGUUGGGGCAGCGGGCUUCCUCGCAGACGGUGUGCAGGUUUAGGCCGCGGAGGUCAUUCUUGAUGCGUUUGUAGUUCGAGGAGUCCGGAAUGGGCGUCUUGAGCCAGGGGGGGAGACGGGUUAUUUCCUUUUUACGGCCGGGAGGUCCUACCAGGGCUGUUUUCAGGGCAUAUGCUUCGGCGGGGUCAAGAGGUUCGUCCUUCUUGCCGGAGACAAAGUCGGAGAAUGCUGGUCCGGCAUUUAGCUUGUCUUUGAAAGCUGUGGCUGGGCGUUUGACUGUGGGGGGAGUAUUGGAGGUAUUGCCUAUGGGGGAGUCAUGAGGGGUAGUCGUUGCAUAGGAUCUCAGUGUAGCUAAUUGGAGAGUAGGUCGGGCCGAAGGGGGAAGACUGGAAAGAGAAGAGUGGGCGGAGUAGAGAGUUCGGAGCUUGCCAGCAGAGGUUGCCAUAGUGAAGAUCGCAAAGCCACCAAGCCAAGCACCAGCCCUGAGCUUUUUAAUACCGUGAGAGGUUGGGAGACUCAAGAGCUG